rnacentral:rRNA from 1 species
UACGUAGGGCGCAAGCGUUGUCCGGAAUUAUUGGGCGUAAAGAGCUCGUAGGUGGUUUGUUACGUCUGCUGUGAAAACCUAGGGCUUAACCCUGGGCCUGCAGUGGAUACGGGCAGACUAGAGGUAGGUAGGGAGAAUGGAAUUCCCGGUGUAGCGGUGAAAUGCGCAGAUAUCGGGAGGAACACCGGUGGCGAAGGCGGUUCUCUGGGCCUUACCUGACACUGAGGAGCGAAAAGCGUGGGGAGCGAACAGG